UGUGACACUCCUUAAAAAGGUGACCUGGGUAAUUACUGACUUGUCAGUCUGACAUUGAUCCUGGCAAGAUAAUGGAGCGGGUGAUUUGGGACUUGAUUUAUGAUGAAUUAAAGCACAACAGAAACCAAAUGGUGUAAUGACAAGUUGUUUGGAAAAGAAGGACGUUUUCAACCUCACGGAAAUGCUUUGUUUCAGUUGCUUUUUCUAAGCCAAAGGCCAGCAAAGUGGAGGUGUUUCAGCAGGCAGCUUCCAUGUCUACACAAUAGCAUUUGUCAACAAAGGAAAAAGGUUCCACCGGGAAAAAAAAUCGACCAGCUCUAAUUUUGACUUGCCUGGUCAUGUAGUGAGGUGUGGGUCUCCCCAGUGUGUGGAAAAGGGGUUGCACACAUCCCACUGACCCACAAUAAAGAGCAGGACAAG